rnacentral:rRNA from 1 species
GGCCUAAUACAUGCAAGUCGAACGCUUCGUUUUCUACCGGGUGCUUGCACCCACCAGAGAAGAAGAAGUGGCGGAACGGGUGAGUAACACGUGGGUAAACCUGCCCCAUAAGUGGGGGAUAACAGCCGGAAACGGCUGCUAAUACCGCAUAAUUCCAGUGAUCUCCUGAUCGUUGGAUGAAAGGUGGCUUCGGCUACCGCUUAUGGAUGGACCCGCGGCGUAUUAGCUAGUUGGUGAGGUAAUGGCUCACCAAGGCAAUGAUACGUAGCCGACCUGAGAGGGUGAUCGGCCACACUGGGACUGAGACACGGCCCAGACUCCUACGGGAGGCAGCAGUAGGGAAUCUUCCACAAUGGACGCAAGUCUGAUGGAGCAACGCCGCGUGAGUGAAGAAGGUCUUCGGAUCGUAAAGCUCUGUUGUUGGUGAACGAAGGAUAGAGGCAGUAACUGGUCUUUAUUUGACGGUAAUCAACCAGAAAGUCACGGCUAACUACGUGCCAGCAGCCGCGGUAAUACGUAGGUGGCAAGCGUUGUCCGG